GACGAACGCUGGCGGCGUGCCUAAUACAUGCAAGUCGAACGCUUCUUUCCUCCCGAGUGCUUGCACUCAAUUGGAAAGGGGAGUGGCGGACGGGUGAGUAACACGUGGGUAACCUACCCAUCAGAGGGGGAUAACACUUGGAAACAGGUGCUAAUACCGCAUAACAGUUUAUGCCGCAUGGCAUAAGAGUGAAAGGCGCUUUCGGGUGUCGCUGAUGGAUGGACCCGCGGUGCAUUAGCUAGUUGGUGAGGUAACGGCUCACCAAGGCCACGAUGCAUAGCCGACCUGAGAGGGUGAUCGGCCACACUGGGACUGAGACACGGCCCAGACUCCUACGGGAGGCAGCAGUAGGGAAUCUUCGGCAAUGGACGAAAGUCUGACCGAGCAACGCCGCGUGAGUGAAGAAGGUUUUCGGAUCGUAAAACUCUGUUGUUAGAGAAGAACAAGGACGUUAGUAACUGAACGUCCCCUGACGGUAUCUAACCAGAAAGCCACGGCUAACUACGUG
rnacentral:rRNA from 1 species